GGGGAGGGAGGAGAGCAGGAGCGACGGCGAUGGCGACGGGAAGGAGGAGUGAGAACCCGCAGCUCUUUUUGAUUGGACUUGUGGCCACAAUUUUACAGCGAGAAAUUCCCCCGGCAGGCGUCAGUCGCAAUAAGAUGUUGACGAAUGUCUCCUGCCACCGGAGAGGCGGCGUGGGGCGGAUCUGACACGUCGGCGCUGGGCCGCGGCGCUGACAGCAGCCGUGCUGGCCGGGCCCCUGGGAGCACCGAGCACCGCGAGUCACGUACGGCAUCGCCGGUGACCAGCCCUUAACGAUGGAGACGGGUGCGGAGCGCCCAGGCUUCACCGCACCACAAUGGGCAACAAAGUCUUCCUUAACCGGACAUGUGUAGAAGAUGCUCUACGGAUUUCCUUCUUUUAAUAUCUGAAAAGGGUGAGGAACGGGCCAACAGGGCCCUCGAAGAGACGCUGCAGAGGCAGGAGCCAAAGCCCUGUGACGACAAAGAGGAAGGACGGUGCAGUGAAAGCAACGCAGAAGCAGGGAAGCAGCACGACUUCUCAGGAGGGGGGCACUGGUCCCCUGCUAGAUGAACGCUGGUGACACAGUCAAGGCAAACCCUGAGCAGAUCAAAGCUGCCUACAGGCCUCUGGGUGAGAUGCUAGUGACCCAAAAGGUGUUCUCCUCAAACCUCUGGUCAAGAAGAAAGGUCUUGGUGCGAGCAGAUGCAUCCUGCAGACUAAUACCUGACUGUCUCCAUAAAGGUUUUGACUUAUUUGAUCGUGGCACCCCCUUUUGAGGAAGAAAAGGGGCCAGUAGGAACAGCUGGAAUCCACCUGACAAACACGGGCAGAAGAAUUUUGCGCAAACAGACUUGUUAACCCAAAUAAGGACUACUUUAAACUAGGUUUGCCAGGGAAGGGGGAGAUUGGCCCAAAGUCAGUGAGGAAGUGGUGCAAACGGGGAAGGUAUGUGUGAGAGAGAGGAGAGGGGAAGUCGUCCACCUUCCUGCUCAGAAGUGAGGGCAUUCAGCAUUUACCUUGCACGCCUGUGCAGUGACGUGCCGAGCUUGUGCAAAAAGCCAGGAGAGCUGGAAGUCCAUGCACCGUCUCAGGGGGAUGCUGUGAGAGGCGACCUGGCCGGAGAGCACACGUGGCUGAAGCACGUAUGCAUGCACGAGCAGGGGCCAGUCAGGAAGGACAGGCAGCGAGGGAGGGCAGGCGGCUCUUGCUCUACCCACCUACGCAAAGCAGCUCUCCUCCAUGAAGGGGCUGCUAUGAAACCAAAGACACGUCCACUGGGAGUAUCUGGGCCAAAUCAGAGGGAUGCAUAUGAGUUAUUACCAUGGCAUGAAAACAGCAAAGUACAGAAAAGGCUGAACCUGGCAUCUUGCAAUGUUGUGCAACUACCAAACUAUCAAGAACAAGGAAAUAAUUUUUGGUAGUUCUAUAUCUGAAGAAUGCUGUAUCUAUUCAGAAGUAUCAUACCAUUUUAUUUCAGUUCUAUGUAUCCACUCAUUAAAAAUUUCUAAUAAGAAAUGUGUGAAAGACAGGAGGGAGAAAAUCAAGACUACUUUUGCCUCGUAAAUGAAUUGCCACGUAUUCUGUCUAAACCAACAUCAGCACGGGAAUAAGCCCAAACAGCUUUUUGAGACUGGCGUGGGAACGACUGGCAAUGCUUCGUGAGCGAUACCGAAGCGCUGCCAUCGCGCUGUUUGCAGAGCGGAAGAAUGAAGCUGUUUCCAGAGGGGAAAGGCAGCAUCGUUCUGUGAAGGGAUGUGAAAGAUGAUGUGGGUGCAAUCCAUCGUCAUGAUCACAUAAGGGAACCCUGAAAUGUCAUAAAAUCCCAUUUUGAUCUGUUGUCACUACUGUUGGUUGUAUGGAAAAUUAACACAUUUA